rnacentral:lncRNA from 1 species
UUUUUUUUUUGAGGGGGUAUAGGCGGGGUUUAAACUAUUCUGGCUGGCCACACCCAUCUACUAGGUCAACGUUUUUCAAAGUGCACUCAUUUGGGCCAGUUCCGUCCGUGGAAAUUUCUUUCGACACUGGAGUAUUCGAAUUUUUGAUAUUAUAUAGGCCACUGUGUGCGAGUGUAAUCACAAUAAGGACCAUCUCGGAGUGGAACUGUCAAAAAAGACCCCGCCCUAUGGCGGCAAGUGCGGCAAGCGACACGUGGCGCUUGCUGCCACAGGCUAUGGCAGCAACACUGUUCAUCGUCUCCCCGCGCGUAUUAUGCACCGUCCCUGUGGAAUGGCGAUGUUGACGGCACAGGCUGUUGCGGCAAGUGUCAUGCCGCACUUGCCAUCGCGGGGCAGGUUGUUUUUGCCAAUUUCAUGCAGGUGGCCUUUCUAUAAUUACACUUGUGCAGGUGGUUAAAAAUGCCAAAAAAAUGAUGUAUUUAUGAGGAAUUAUAAAGAAAAUAUAUUCACAUCGAAAUGAUACUAAGUACACUUAGCAUAUCAAUCAACGUAAUGUCAAAAAUUAGUCGAGACAUACACAUAGCCAACAUUGAAUAACACACACAUGACCAUCAAUUUCAACCACUAUCGUUGGUAACACUGUACUAUGAGAAAUCUCUCCAACAGUGAUGCCCAAGGGAAGAAAACAAAACGACAUGUGAAAUUUAUCAUCGCUAGAUCCAACCACAAAGGUUAGGAGAUGGGUAUUCCCCGAAAAGUGGAAUUUAGGGCUCCUUUGAUUCAAAGGAACUCCAUAGGAUUUUUGGAGGGUUUGAAUCGUUUAGAAUUUUUUCUAAAGAAUCAUAUGUACUAAAUUUCAUAGAAAAUCUUACUUUUUUUGUUUUUUCUUGUGGCAUCAAAUAACUUCUUUAUUUUAUUUUUCGUUUGCCUAGGCAAUUGAUUUGGUCUUGUAUGAUUUUGCUAUUUGAUUCUUUGCAUGUGUUAGCGUUGAUAUUGAUUGUGUUCUAUUUUUUUCCCAAGACUGAUGUUGUAAAAAGAAGAAUGCGUGAUCAUUGUGUUUGUAUUGUUUGAUGCUCCAUUUUGAGUCGAUGAAAUCCACCCCUCAUAAAAAAGGAUUUCAUAUUUCUCCAAAUAGGGCAUCAACUUCAUUUUGAAUUAGUAAAAUCCAUCCUUUAUAAAUAAGGAUUUCAUAUUUCUCCAAACAGGGUACCAACUACUAAUUGCAUGCACACAACCUCAGUUUGCGUCGGAGUAAAAAAAUCCAACCAUAAGAGCAACUCUAGCAAAGUCGCCAUAUGUAUCGUCAGUCACCAUAUGGGAUAUGAAGCGAGCUUCAUUCGAAUAUGGGAUGUGGUCAUUGUGCACAAACACAGAGCCGCUACAACAUCCAUAUAUGUUUUCCUUUUUAUUUUCUUCUGUUUUUUUGUUACAUCAACUAAAAAAUCCACAUACACACUUUCAGGGAUUAAAACACUAAUUUUUGAGAUAACAUCACAUCACAAGUGAUUACAUAGGGGUAGAAAAGUCGAUUGGCAACAAAAUUAUCACUAAACUGGUGACUAUACGCCUUGGGAAACACUAGUUGCUCCUCACCACAAUGACGGUGAAUGCAGUGCACAGGACACAUGCAUAUGUAAUGAGACGAGUCGUUCUCCAUGCACAACAGUGGGACAGUAUGGCGACCUCGUCAUUAUCGCGUGAAGGAUGGCAAUUUUACACGUGGGUCUAGGCGCAAUUUUAUACCCACGGGUAGUAUCCAUACUCUACCCGUCAAGUCAUGGAUAGGGCACGGGUAUAGCCUCUUACCCAUAGAGAUACCCAUACCCUUCCAAUUUAUACUUGCAUAUAAACCUUACCCAUGCUUCACACGUGUACCAACAUUAAAGUUGUAUCGUGAGCUUGUGAACCUAUGUUAAAGUUGUCAUCAAUUGUCAUUUUGAAUUGAGAUAAUUGUCAUGUACUCAUCUAUCUGUUAUUGAGUUGAGGUCAUUGUACUUUUGUCAAAUGUGCUAUUACAGAUGAAUGUAAGACUGUGAAUAACUUUUGUACUAUUUGAUCUACCCGUUGGGUAUCCAAUGAGUAUGGGUACCCAUUUGUUAUGGGUACGGGUAAAGUUUCAUACCCAUGGGAAUGAGUAUGGGUAGAAUUUUUUACCCAUUGACUACACGGGUAUGGUUAUGGUAUUACUCUACUCGUCGCAUACCCCUACCCAUUGCCAUCCUUAAUUCCGUCCCCGUUCAUCGUCAUCGAGAUCCAGGACGGCUUUUUUAACAAGGGAAGAUCCAGUAUGGCGUGAUUCGACUAGGUGAAUGUCACCAUGUCCUUGUCGAAUGCGCGCCAUCUGAUGCACUCCUUCUUCACCCCCAAGUCCGCAUAUUUCUCCUUGUAAUUGAGCCACAUGAUGUAGUCGCUCUCCGCCGCAACGCCUUCCCGACGUCGAUAUGCUUGAAGAUUUGACCGAGACGGACAACCGAGGCGUGGGCGGCAUAGCACGCAUCCCAUGCCUCCUUAGCAGGGAGGCAACACGGAGUACAUGAGGCCAUAUAUGAGCUGCGUAACGAGACCUCGCCUGCUCAUACGGGAUCAUACCCCAAAUAAUGGAAUGUCUUGUGAUAUUCCAAUCUAGGCACUCAUCGAGGGCAGGAUCCUCCUGCGCACGUCUAGCACAUAUAUGUGAUCCUCCUCCUCAGCGAUGUGUGCGGCCUCCUGCUCCACUUCUCCCUGUCCUUCAAGAAGGGGCACCCAUUCCGACUUUAGGGGAAGCGCAUGGCGACAGAAAGGGAGAAAGUCGCUACGGGCAGCUGUGUUGGAAGGAAGUGAAGGUUGUAAGCUUUUCAACCAUGGCGACGGUCUUUUUAUAGCCGCAUAAGGCAAACGCCGAAAAAAUAUAGCAGAUUGCGGGGAGUAGGCACAUGAUAGCUGCCAUUAAUUGGCAUGCUUCCUGAUAUGCAUGUCUGGCCGUGUGCGCCAUUGGCACACGAAGUAGAUGGCCGCUCGAAAGGCUGGAAGGAAGGUAGACUUUCCUUCCAAGUGAGCGUCUGGUGGGUAUAUAUGGAGCUUCCUCCAAAAAUGGCAACUCUCGAGGCCAUAUGACUAGAGUAAGUACUUACCCUUUUUAGGCCAAAAUAGUCCAUAUGCCGCUCAUUAUUGCUAUGAGGCCAAUAAGGCGGCUCUGCUAGAAUUGCUCUAUAACACUCCUUGUUUCUCUCCUAAUUUCUAGGUCUAGUCAGUGUCAUUCAAAAACUAUGCAAUGCAUGACUAACUAGGAAAGUUUGCUUGUUAGGAGGACAACACACAACGAAUAAGGGUAUGUUCAUGCAUGUACAGAAGGGUUACAGCCUUUAUACAGGUUUAACAGCACGGACCAUGCAUUCUUCAGCGUCACAUCUGACCGAUAGCUACUUUAGUAUCAUCAUCCCUAACUAGGGCUACAGCAGUACACGGAAGCACGGAUCAUAGAACGAGAGAUCGAUUUGAUCAUCAUCAACGGGUAUACUUGAGCUAGCUAACUGAGUCUUCAAUGGUGGAUCGGACGGCGAGCCUGCUCAUUUCAGAUGCUCACCGCCAUCUGGUUCAUGGAGGCGGCCUCCUGGCGAGAUCGCCGGACGCCGUGGGGGGGCUUCUCCUUGCAGCCGCCGUCUUCUCCGCCCGCCUUCACGUCGGACGCCCCGCCUUUCUCUGGACUGGCAUUCUUGUGCUUGGCUAGAUCCUGUUGCGCUCUCACCUUCACGCCGCGUAUCAG